rnacentral:rRNA from 1 species
GACGAACGCUGGCGGCGUGCCUAAUACAUGCAAGUAGAACGCUGAAGGAGGAGCUUGCUUCUCUGGAUGAGUUGCGAACGGGUGAGUAACGCGUAGGUAACCUGCCUGGUAGCGGGGGAUAACUAUUGGAAACGAUAGCUAAUACCGCAUAAGAGUAGAUGUUGCAUGACAUUUGCUUAAAAGGUGCAAUUGCAUCACUACCAGAUGGACCUGCGUUGUAUUAGCUAGUUGGUGGGGUAACGGCUCACCAAGGCGACGAUACAUAGCCGACCUGAGAGGGUGAUCGGCCACACUGGGACUGAGACACGGCCCAGACUCCUACGGGAGGCAGCAGUAGGGAAUCUUCGGCAAUGGACGGAAGUCUGACCGAGCAACGCCGCGUGAGUGAAGAAGGUUUUCGGAUCGUAAAGCUCUGUUGUAAGAGAAGAACGAGGGUGAGAGUGGAAAGUUCACACUGUGACGGUAUCCUACCAGAAAGGGACGGCUAACUACGUG